AAACAGGAUAUUAUCAAGCAUAAAGUUCUGUAUGAGAGCCAUCACAUCAUUCUCUCUUUCCUUUCAGGAAGAAGGAUUUGUGAGAUUACAGUCAGCUGCACUAUUGAAGUUAUUAAACAACAGAACAAAACAGUGUUGCCAUCCUGCAGAACUCAGAUCUGACAGAUGAAAGCAGGUUUCCUUCGCAAACACGCGGUCUGAUGAGACUUGUCUGUCAGCUCCUGAGCUGAGCUGGUUUUGCCUAUAGUCUUUGGCAGCUGCUUUGCUGAUCCCACCUGGCUCCAGACUUCUUCAGUAACAAGAACCUGGUUGGACAUCUGUCAAUCAUUAUGGGAAUAUGGUAAAGGUGUUUAGCUCAGAAACCAGCAAAGGAUGAGUGUGAAUUUGACAAGACUGUUAAAGACUUCUAAUAGAGAUCUUCACAUUAAACUGCAUCAACUCAGUGCUGAACUUGAAGCUGCAAAAGUCAGAAGAAAACUGCCAGAAGAGGAACAGUGAAAAGGAUAUCAAACCAGAAAAAGAAACUGACAGAAGUAAAUUCCAAAUGGAAGAACACAGCUGUUAUUCCAGGACAGCCCUAAAAUACAUGGUUUUAAUAAUAUG